rnacentral:rRNA from 1 species
GAUGAACGUUGGCGGCGUGCCUAACACAUGCAAGUCGAACGCUAGUAGCAAUAUUAGAGUGGCGCACGGGUGAGUAACACGUAGCUUAUCUACCUCCCAGCGCGGGAUAACGGUUCGAAAGAACUGCUAAUACCGCAUAAGCUCACGAGCUAUAGAGGCUGGUGAGAAAAGGCUUAGGUCACUGGGAGCGGGGGCUGCGGCCCAUCAGCUAGUUGGGAGGUAACGGCUUACCAAGGCGACGACGGGUAGGGGACCUGAGAGGGUGACCCCC